GGCCGUUUGGUUUAGUGGUAUAAUUCUUGCUUUGGGUGCAAGAGGCCCCGCGUUCGAUUCGCGGAACGGCCC
rnacentral:tRNA from 1 species